AGCCCACAUCCUCGGAGUACGCCGCCCUGCUGAGGGACACCCAGGACCAGUAACCACACUGGAGUGGACUCCCUGUGUACCUUGCCGCCUUGGCACAGAGACUGGACAGAGUUGCCAUCUAUGAGGAAUUCCUGUGGCUGACCCAGAAUGGUACCCAGCUGCAGAACUUGACCCUGGACAGGAAGAGUGUCCUUGGGGAUGAAUAUUCUGCCAACAGAGAUGACACCUUGACUGAGAAGCCUAGUAAACCUGCAGGAAGCCCCAGC